rnacentral:tRNA from 1 species
GGAGGAGUGGCCGAGCGGUCGAAGGCGGCGGUCUUGAAAACCGUUGGGCCUCAUGGGUCCCAAGGGUUCGAAUCCCUUCUCCUCCG